rnacentral:rRNA from 1 species
UGCAAGUCGAACGAUGAUGCCCAGCUUGCUGGGCGGAUUAGUGGCGAACGGGUGAGUAAUACGUGAGUAACCUGCCCUUGACUCUGGGAUAAGCCUGGGAAACUGGGUCUAAUACUGGAUACUACCGUCCACCGCAUGGUGGGUGGUGGAAAGGGUUUUACUGGUUUUGGAUGGGCUCACGGCCUAUCAGCUUGUUGGUGGGGUAAUGGCUCACCAAGGCGACGACGGGUAGCCGGCCUGAGAGGGUGACCGGCCACACUGGGACUGAGACACGGCCCAGACUCCUACGGGAGGCAGCAGUGGGGAAUAUUGCACAAUGGGCGGAAGCCUGAUGCAGCGACGCCGCGUGAGGGAUGACGGCCUUCGGGUUGUAAACCUCUUUCAGUAGGGAAGAAGCGAGAGUGACGGUACCUGCAGAAGAAGCGCCGGCUAACUACGUGCCAGCAGCCGCGGUAAUACGUAGGGCGCAAGCGUUGUCCGGAAUUAUUGGGCGUAAAGAGCUCGUAGGCGGUUUGUCGCGUCUGCUGUGAAAGCCCGGGGCUCAACCCCGGGUCUGCAGUGGGUACGGGCAGACUAGAGUGCAGUAGGGGAGACUGGAAUUCCUGGUGUAGCGGUGAAAUGCGCAGAUAUCAGGAGGAACACCGAUGGCGAAGGCAGGUCUCUGGGCUGUUACUGACGCUGAGGAGCGAAAGCAUGGGGAGCGAACAGGAUUAGAUACCCUGGUAGUCCAUGCCGUAAACGUUGGGCACUAGGUGUGGGGGACAUUCCACGUUUUCCGCGCCGUAGCUAACGCAUUAAGUGCCCCGCCUGGGGAGUACGGCCGCAAGGCUAAAACUCAAAGGAAUUGACGGGGGGCCCGCACAAGCGGCGGAGCAUGCGGAUUAAUUCGAUGCAACGCGAAGAACCCUUACCAAGGCUUGACAUUCACCGGGACCGCCCC